CAAUAGCGUAUACUAAUGUUGUUGCAGUUAAAAGCUCGUAGUUGGAUUUCUGGGAUUUUCAGCCGGCCGGCUCUUAGGAGUUGUAGCUAGGUUUUCAGUCAUCUAUCUCUCACUAAUUCUCAAUCUGGCCUUAACUGUUCGGUGCAGAGGACUGAGUCGUUUACUUUGAGAAAAUUAGAGUGUUCAAAGCAGGCUAUCGCCUUGAAUAUAUUAGCAUGGAAUAAUGAUAUAGGACUUUGGUUCUAUUUUGUUGGUUGUUCGAGGACCGAAGUAAUGAUUGAUAGGGACGGUUGGGGCGUCAGUAUUCUGAAGCGAGAGGUGAAAUUCUUGGACCUUCGGAAGACUAACAACUGCGAAAGCAUUCGCCUAGGAUGUUCUCUUUAAUCAAGA
rnacentral:rRNA from 1 species